UACGUAGGUGUCAAGCGUUGUCCGGAUUUAUUGGGCGUAAAGCGCCCGCAGGCGGCUUGCCAAGUUCGAUGUGAAAUCUCCCGGCUCAACUGGGAGGGUGCAUCGAAAACUGGCAGGCUUGAGGCAGGGAGAGGGAUGUGGAAUUCCAGGUGUAGUGGUGAAAUGCGUAGAUAUCAGGAGGAACACCGAUGGCGAAGGCAGCUCGCUGGGACGGUACUGACGCUGAGACGCGAAAGCGUGGGGAGCAAACAGG
rnacentral:rRNA from 1 species